GGUUGGGUUGUAACUGUAGAAGUCAGUCCCUGUCCUGGUCAGGUUGGGUUGUAGCUGUAGAAGUCAGUCCCUGUUGGGUUGGGUUGUAACUGUAGAAGUCAGUCCCUGUCUGGUUGUAACUGUAGAAGUCAGUCCCUGUCUGGUUGGGUUGUAACUGUAAAAGUCAGUCCCGGUCAGGUUGGGUUGUAACUGUAGAAGUCAGUCCCUGUCUGGUUGGGUUGUAACUGUAGAAGUCAGUCCCUGUCUGGUUGGGUUGUAACUGUAGAAGUCAGUCCAUGUCUGGUUGGGUUGUAACUGUAGAAGUCAGUCCCUGUCUGGUUGGGUUGUAACUGUAGAAGUCAGUCCCUGUCCUGGUUGGGUUGUAACUGUAGAAGUCAGUCCCUGUUGGGUUGUAACUGUAGAAGUCAGUCCCUGUCAGGUUGGGUUGUAACUGUAGAAGUCAGUCCCUGUCUGGUUGGGUUGUAGCUGUAGAAGUCAGUCCUGGUUGGGUUGUAACUGUAGAAGUCAGUCCCUGUCUGGUUGUAACUGUAGAAGUCAGUCCCUGUUGGGUUGUAGCUGUAGAAGUCAGUCCCUGUCUGGUUGGGUUGUAACUGUAGAAGUCAGUCCCUGUCUGGUUGGGUUGUAACUGUAGAAGUCAGUCCCUGUCUGGUUGGGUUGUAACUGUAGAAGUCAGUCCCUGUCUGGUUGGGUUGUAACUGUAGAAGUCAGUCCCUGUCCUGGUCAGGUUGGGUUGUAGCUGUAGAAGUCAGUCCUGGUUGGGUUGUAACUGUAGAAGUCAGUCCCUGUCCUGGUCAGGUUGGGUUGUAGCUGUAGAAGUCAGUCCAGGUUGGGUUGUAGCUGUAGAAGUCAGUCCCUGUUGGGUUGGGUUGUAACUGUAGAAGUCAGUCCCUGUCUGGUUGUAACUGUAGAAGUCAGUCCCUGUCAGGUUGGGUUGUAACUGUAGAAGUCAGUCCCUGUCUGGUUGGGUUGUAACUGUAAAAGUCAGUCCUGGUCAGGUUGGGUUGUAACUGUAGAAGUCAGUCCCUGUCUGGUUGGGUUGUAACUGUAGAAGUCAGUCCCUGUCUGGUUGGGUUGUAACUGUAGAAGUCAGUCCAUGUCUGGUUGGGUUGUAACUGUAGAAGUCAGUCCCUGUCUGGUUGGGUUGUAACUGUAGAAGUCAGUCCCUGUCCUGGUUGGGUUGUAACUGUAGAAGUCAGUCCCUGUUGGGUUGUAACUGUAGAAGUCAGUCCCUGUCAGGUUGGGUUGUAACUGUAGAAGUCAGUCCCUGUCUGGUUGGGUUGUAGCUGUAGAAGUCAGUCCCUGUCAGGUUGUAACUGUAGAAGUCAGUCCCUGUCAGGUUGUAACUGUAGAAGUCAGUCCCUGUCAGGUUGUAACUGUAGAAGUCAGUCCCUGUCAGGUUGGGUUGUAACUGUAGAAGUCAGUCCCUGUCUGGUUGGGUUGUAGCUGUAGAAGUCAGUCCUGGUUGGGUUGUAACUGUAGAAGUCAGUCCCUGUCUGGUUGUAACUGUAGAAGUCAGUCCCUGUCAGGUUGUAACUGUAGAAGUCAGUCCCUGUCAGGUUGUAACUGUAGAAGUCAGUCCCUGUUGGGUUGUAACUGUAGAAGUCAGUCCCUGUCAGGUUGUAACUGUAGAAGUCAGUCCCUGUCUGGUUGGGUUGUAACUGUAGAAGUCAGUCCCUGUCUGGUUGGGUUGUAACUGUAGAAGUCAGUCCCUGUCUGGUUGGGUUGUAGCUGUAGAAGUCAGUCCCUGUCUGGUUGGGUUGUAGCUGUAGAAGUCAGUCCCUGUCUGGUUGGGUUGUAACUGUAGAAGUCAGUCCCUGUCUGGUUGGGUUGUAACUGUAGAAGUCAGUCCCUGUUGGGUUGUAACUGUAGAAGUCAGUCCCUGUUGGGUUGUAACUGUAGAAGUCAGUCCCUGUUGGGUUGUAACUGUAGAAGUCAGUCCCUGUCAGGUUGUAACUGUAGAAGUCAGUCCCUGUCUGGUUGGGUUGUAACUGUAGAAGUCAGUCCCUGUCAGGUUGGGUUGUAGCUGUAGAAGUCAGUCCCUGUCUGGUUGGGUUGUAACUGUAGAAGCCAGUCCUGGUCAGGUUGGGUUGUAACUGUAGAAGUCAGUCCCUGUCAGGUUGGGUUGUAGCUGUAGAAGUCAGUCCCUGUCUGGUUGAGAUGUAGCUGUAGAAGUCAGUCCCUGUCUGGUUGGGUUGUAACUGUAGAAGUCAGUCCCUGUCUGGUUGGGUUGUAACUGUAGAAGUCAGUCCCUGUCUGGUUGGGUUGUAACUGUAGAAGUCAGUCCCUGUCCUGGUCAGGUUGGGAGGGGUGUCAGUGCUGUUACUCUGAAGGUAUUGCACUUGUCCCGGCCUGUUUAGGAUUGAGGAGAUGGUGCUCCUACUCUUUGAACCUGCUAAAGCAGUAACUGCUUGAUGCAUGUUUGAAAUGAAUGAAUGAAACCUAUAUUUACCAAAAAUGAGACUUGUAUGUUUUCUGUCUCAUGAUUCUGUUUUUUUUCUAGAUUAUUUUUUAAUGAAUGAAGAGGUAAUUUUCUAAAUUGUAGAUUGAUUGUCAGAGCUUAAAUGUGUCCGUCCAUAUGGUGAGGAAUUGUUUCAUGCUGUGGUUUUGUCUCAAAUAAAGUUUCCAUGUAAAUUA